GAACGGCUCUCUCGGGAGCUUUC
rnacentral:snRNA from 1 species